rnacentral:rRNA from 1 species
UGCCAGCAGCCGCGGUAAUACGUAGGGUGCAAGCGUUAAUCGGAAUUACUUGGCGUAAAGCGUGUGUAGGCGGUUCGGAAAGAAAGAUGUGAAAUCCCAGGGCUCAACCUUGUGACUGGCGGGCUAGAGUAUGGCAGAGGGGGGUAGAAUUCCACGUGUAGCAGUGAAAUGCGUAGAGAUGUGGAGGAAUACCGAUGGCGAAGGCAGCCCCCUGGGCCAAUACUGACGCUCAUGCACGAAAGCGUGGGGAGCAAACAGGAUUAGAUA